rnacentral:misc_RNA from 1 species
UCCGGCUUGACGCCGGCGGUCUCCCUAGAGUGCCCAGCAUGACCUGAUGGCAACUAGGGACAGGGGUUUCGCUCGUUACGGGACUUAACCCAACAUCUCACGACACGAGCUGUCGACAGCCAUGCAGCACCUGUGCACGUUCCACCUCGCGGCGUCGCCGACGUUUCCGCCGGCUAAUCCGUGCAUGUCAAGCCCGGGAUAAGGUUUUGCGCGUAGCCUCGAAUUAAGCCACAUGCUCCACCGCUUGUGUGAGCCCCCGUCAAUUCCUUUGGGUUUCAGCCUUGCGACCAUACUCCCCAGGCGGAGCACUUCACGCUUUCGCUGCGGCAGCGAGCCCAUCGGCGAGCCCGCUACCCAGUGCUCAUGGUUUACGGCCAGGACUAC